CCCCUAGAUGUUCUGGGCCGCACGCGCGCUACACUGAACAGUUCAACAAGUCUUAACCUUGGCCGAUAGGUCUGGGUAAUCUUUGAACGCUGUUCGUGAUUGGGAUAGACCUUUGCAAUUAUGGGUCUUCAACGAGGAAUUCCUAGUAAACGCAAGUCAUCAGCUUGCAUUGAUUACGUCCCUGCCCUUUGUACACACCGCCCGUCGCACCUACCGAUUGAACGUUUUAGUGAGGUAUUUGGACUGGACCUUCGGAGGUUCGCGCCUCCGUUGCUGUUCGGGAAGACUCCCAAACUUGAGCGUUUAGAGGAAGUAAAAGUCGUANCA
rnacentral:rRNA from 1 species